GUGUGACACGUUUGAAACAGGUGGAAAAACGGAAUAUUUGUGUGACCUUCAAAAAAUCGGGUUAAAUGGAAGUGUAACACUCAAGAUCUGAGAGAGAAAGCUUAUGGAGAUGCUUCAGUUGGAUAUGUCCAACUGAAAAGAAAAAAUAACGUUUGCGUUGUGAAAUGCCAAAUUUGCCCUGAACAUGGAGUACGUUCUCAAAAUUACUCUAUAAUUUUGGAAGUGGAUAAAUCCGAGGAAAAUAAAGUCAAAGCUGAGUGUCAAGACUGUGCGGCGCCAACAGGAGGAUGCAAACAUGCUAUUGCUUUUGUCAUGUGGGUUCAUCGACGUAGUGAAGAGCCAAGUCCUACAGAAGUAGAAUCAUAUUGGAAACGUCCUAAACUUUUAACUGUGGCUACAUCACGAUUUAUUACCCUGAAUGAUUUUUGUAGCGAAACAAAUUUGUCAGCAGCCAAGAACUAUGAUUUAUUAAAUAAAUUUGUGCAAAGAGGGCUAGAAAUAGAGGCUUCUAGUCAAAUUUUAAAAUAUUUAAUUGUAAUUAAAUGGAAAUUCAUCA